rnacentral:rRNA from 1 species
UGGGGAAUAUUGGACAAUGGGCGCAAGCCUGAUCCAGCCAUGCCGCGUGAGUGAUGAAGGCCUUAGGGUUGUAAAGCUCUUUUAGCGGGGAAGAUAAUGACGGUACCCGCAGAAAAAGCCCCGGCUAACUUCGUGCCAGCAGCCGCGGUAAUACGAAGGGGGCUAGCGUUGCUCGGAAUUACUGGGCGUAAAGCGCACGUAGGCGGACUCUUAAGUCGGUGGUGAAAUCCUGGAGCUCAACUCCAGAACUGCCUUCGAUACUGGGAGUCUUGAGUUCUGGAGAGGUGAGUGGAACUGCGAGUGUAGAGGUGAAAUUCGUAGAUAUUCGCAAGAGCACCAGUGGCGAAGGCGGCUCACUGGCCCGAUACUGACGCUGAGGUGCGAAAGCGUGGGG